UACGUAGGGGGCGAGCGUUGUCCGGAAUUAUUGGGCGUAAAGAGCUCGUAGGCGGCAUUUCAAGUCAGAUGUGAAAGCCGACGGCUUAACCGGAGGAUUGCAUUUGAUACUGGGGUGCUUGAGGUAGGUAGAGGAAGGUAGAAUUCCCGGUGUAGCGGUGAAAUGCGUAGAUAUCGGGAGGAAUACCAGUGGCGAAGGCGGCCUUCUGGGCCUUACCUGACGCUGAGGAGCGAAAGCGUGGGGAG
rnacentral:rRNA from 1 species